UUUUUUUUUAAACUUUAUGAAAUGUGAAGAUAAUGCAUUUCGGUAUUCUGAUACGGUUUACUAUGUCUCAAUCAGGGUUAUUCACUAAACGUUAUAUUGUAGCAAGUUAAAUGUCAAAUUGCUAAAUAUGGGCGACAAUAUACAAGCACAGUAAAAUAUUUUAAGUUUCCUUUCACUACUACAAGCAAGGGCCGAAACAUCACGUAUGGGUCAAUGGCUUAGUAGAAAAG